UGCGGUAAGAGCGCACCAGCAGUGUCGUGAGGCACUGGCUCGGUAAACCCCGGCUGGGAGCAAGGUUGGAGGGAUAAUGGUUGGUCUUUUUCCAGUUCCGUUGCGUUCAUAGAUUCAUCUAUGAUGCUAGGUAUACCGCAAGAGGUGUCUGGUAACAGACAUCCCAGAUAGAUAACUGCC
rnacentral:RNase_P_RNA from 1 species